rnacentral:ncRNA from 13 species
AACAUGGCGCAGUGGUUAGCGUGCUGGGCUCAUAACCCAGUGGUCCGAGGUUCGAAACCUCGUGUU